GGGUCAGUAGGUUGGUCGUGCCACCGGUACGUACUGGUCUCACUGAUUCCUCCUUCCUGAAGAACCGUAAUGCCAUUAAUUUGUGUUGCGGGGAAACAGGACUGUUACUUUGAAAAAAUUAGAGUGUUUAAAGCAAGCUAACGCUUGAAUACAUUAGCAUGGAAUAAUGAAAUAGGACGAUCGAUCCUAUUUUGUUGGUUUCUAGGAUUGACGUA
rnacentral:rRNA from 1 species